UACGAAGGGGGCUAGCGUUGUUCGGAAUUACUGGGCGUAAAGGGCGCGUAGGCGGUGUGUCAAGUCAGGCGUGAAAGCCCCGGGCUCAACCUGGGAACAGCGCUUGAGACUGGCACGCUCGAGUUCGGGAGAGGAUGGUGGAAUUCCCAGUGUAGAGGUGAAAUUCGUAGAUAUUGGGAAGAACACCGAUGGCGAAGGCAGACAUCUGGACCGACACUGACGCUGAGGCGCGAAAGCGUGGGGAGCAAACAGG
rnacentral:rRNA from 1 species